rnacentral:rRNA from 1 species
CCUACGGGAGGCUGCAGUGGGGAAUAUUGGACAAUGGGGGCAACCCUGAUCCAGCCAUGCCGCGUGUGUGAAGAAGGCACUCGGGUUGUAAAGCACUUUCAGUGAGGAAGAACGCCUGGUGGUUAAUACCCAUCAGGAAAGACAUCACUCACAGAAGAAGCACCGGCUAACUCCGUGCCAGCAGCCGCGGUAAUACGGAGGGUGCGAGCGUUAAUCGGAAUUACUGGGCGUAAAGCGCGCGUAGGUGGCUUGAUAAGCCGGUUGUGAAAGCCCCGGGCUCAACCUGGGAACGGCAUCCGGAACUGUCAAGCUAGAGUGCAGGAGAGGAAGGUAGAAUUCCCGGUGUAGCGGUGAAAUGCGUAGAGAUCGGGAGGAAUACCAGUGGCGAAGGCGGCCUUCUGGACUGACACUGACACUGAGGUGCGAAAGCGUGGGUAGCAAACAGGAUUAGAUACCCUGGUAGUC